AUGGCCGACGCGGGUCAAACUGUAGUAUCUGUUCUUAUCAGCUUAAUAUCUGAUACGGGUUUUAUAUUUGGCUUAUUUUUGGCUUAUAUUUGGCAUUAUAUUUGGCUUAUUUUUGCAAGUUGGCGGAUUGCUUGAAGCAUGCUUCGUCACCGCCGCGGGUCGGCCCGGUAUUUCACUAUCUUCGGGUAGGCCCAUGUUUU